rnacentral:rRNA from 1 species
UACGUAGGUGGCAAGCGAUACUCGGAAUCACUAGGCGUAAAGCGCAGGUAGGCGGUUUGAUAAGUCUUUUGUGAAAGCUCCCGGCUUAACUGGGAGGGUGCGCCGAAAACUGGAAGGCUUGAGUAUGGGAGAGGUAAGCGGAAUUCCUGGUGUAGCGGUGAAAUGCGUAGAUAUCAGGAGGAACACCUGCGGUGUAGACGGCUUACUGGACCAUAACUGACGCUGAGGCACGAAAGCGUGGGGAGCAAACAGG